UCAAUGUAUACUGAAGGAAAAAAAAGAAAAAAAGUAAAGGAAAAUGGAAGGUGGGUCCGCUGCUACUUCGAAUGAAAAUGAAGACAGCACAGAGAAAGGUUUGGAUCUUCCACUGAAUCGCCAUGGAAACUUGAAAAGUGCUUCCAGUGAUUAAAGCCUCAAGGACAUUCUUCUCCAAAUUAAGUCUUCCAAAACCCCUACUGACCCACGUCUCUCAGCCUCCCAAAAAGACCGCUUCUAAGUGGGUCAAGGGGAAGCAAUUGGAAGAAGUUGUGACCAUUAAAAACACAUAUGGGAUUGGUGGCAAAAAGAUAGCUUUUGUGGGACUACUUGAACUCAAAUAAUUUUCUGUAAAGUUUGGAAGCUAAAACAUCAUUUGUAUAUAAAUAGUUGUAAUUACUUUGUGAACAUCUUUAUUGCAUUUUUAGAUUGUAUGGAUGUUUUUUUUUUAUGGAUUUGCUUAGAAAUGAAUGAAUGUUUUUUUAAUUAUGGAUUUGGUUAGAAAUGAACAGGUUAAUGUAAUGGCAAGUAAAUGUAAAGAAUAUUAAUAAAAAAAUAAAAUUGGUGACGAUAAUUUUCAUUGC